AGAUUAAGUUAUUAAGGGUGCACGGUGGAUGCCUUGGCACUAGAAGCCGAUGAAGGACGUUACUAACGACGAUAUGCUUUGGGGAGCUGUAAGUAAGCUUUGAUCCAGAGAUUUCCGAAUGGGGAAACCCAGCAUGAGUUAUGUCAUGUUAUCGAUAUGUGAAUACAUAGCAUAUCAGAAGGCACACCCGGAGAACUGAAACAUCUUAGUACCCGGAGGAAGAGAAAGAAAAUUCGAUUCCCUUAGUAGCGGCGAGCGAAACGGGAAGAGCCCAAACCAACAAGCUUGCUUGUUGGGGUUGUAGGACACUCUAUACGGAGUUACAAAGGACGACAUUAGACGAAUCAUCUGGAAAGAUGAAUCAAAGAAGGUAAUAAUCCUGUAGUCGAAAAUGUUGUCUCUCUUGAGUGGAUCCUGAGUACGACGGAGCACGUGAAAUUCCGUCGGAAUCUGGGAGGACCAUCUCCUAAGGCUAAAUACUCUCUAGUGACCGAUAGUGAACCAGUACCGUGAGGGAAAGGUGAAAAGCACCCCGGAAGGGGAGUGAAAUAGAACCUGAAACCGUGUGCUUACAAGUAGUCAGAGCCCGUUAAUGGGUGAUGGCGUGCCUUUUGUAGAAUGAACCGGCGAGUUACGAUUUGAUGCAAGGUUAAGCAGUAAAUGUGGAGCCGUAGCGAAAGCGAGUCUGAAUAGGGCGUUUAGUAUUUGGUCGUAGACCCGAAACCAGGUGAUCUACCCUUGGUCAGGUUGAAGUUCAGGUAACACUGAAUGGAGGACCGAACCGACUUA
rnacentral:rRNA from 1 species